AACGAACGCUGGCGGCAUGCCUACCACAUGCAAGUCGAACGAGACCUCCGGGUUUAGUGGCGCACGGGUGCGUAACGGGUGGGAACCUGCCCCUAGGCUCGGAAUAACUCCCCGAAAGGGGUGCUAAUACCGGUUAAUGUCUCUGGACCAAAGAUUUAUCGCCUUUGGUUGGGCCUGCGUUGGAUUAGCUCGCUGGUAGGGUAAAAGCCUACCAAGGUGACGAUCCAUAGCUGGUCUGAGAGGAUGAUCAGCAACACUGGGACUGAGACACGGCCCAGACUCCUACGGGAGGCAGCAGUGGGGAAUAUUGGACAAUGGGCGAAAGCCUGAUCCAGCAAUGCCGCGUGAGUGAUGAAGGCCUUAGGGUUGUAAAGCUCUUUUACCCGGGAUGAUAAUGACAGUACCGGGAGAAUAAGCUCCGGCUAACUCCGUG
rnacentral:rRNA from 1 species